UGGAAGGCCUGGCUUUGCAGCGUGGACUGAACCCUGCAGACCCGGCCUUGGCGAG
ensembl:miRNA ocu-mir-2387 ocu-mir-2387